rnacentral:rRNA from 1 species
GUGUCAGCAGCCGCGGUAAUACGUAGGAUGCAAGCGUUGUCCGGAAUUAUUGGGCGUAAAGCGAACGUAGGCGGUUUCAUAAGUUUGGUCUUAAAGACCGGGGCUCAACCUCGGGAAUGGAUUGAAUACUGUGAGACUGGAGUGCGUCAGAGGGAAGUGGAAUUCCAAGUGUAGCGGUGAAAUGCGUAGAUAUUUGGAGGAACACCAGUGGCGAAAGCGACUUCCUGGGACGAUACUGACGCUGAGGUUCGAAAGCUCGGGGAGCAAACAGGAUUAGAUACCCUGGUAGUCCGAGCCGUAAACGAUGGAUACUAGGUGUUGGAGGUAUAGACCCCUUCAGUGCCGAAGCUAACGCGAUAAGUAUCCCGCCUGGGGAGUACGGUCGCAAGACUGAA